rnacentral:lncRNA from 1 species
UAAAUCAACAAAUAGACAGGAGAUUACAAUUCAAUCUUCACAAUCAAGGAAGAGCUAAGUACCUUCAUUGUUAUAAUCAGGGGAGAGCCAAAUCCAAUCUUCACAGUAACUCCUUGAUGUGCCAUCCUCAGGUCCCUGUUCAGGCACCACCUGUAGAGCCUGAUGGAUACUGAUCACACAGAUUAUUGAAUGGUCCCAAAGAGAAGGUGGGGGAGAUGAGAAAUAUACUUGGGACCAAGAGGACAAGAGACAAGCUGAUUGCAAAUCAAUGAAUCUUUCAAGAGGUGGUAGGGUGCCUCUCCUUGGAGAUCUUCACACAGGAGCUAGAUGACCACUUGUUCAUUCACAUAUUCUGUGGUCCUGCGUUAUCUCCAUUUGAUUCAGCAAAUGUUCAUCAAGUGCUGACUACGUACAAGGCACCAUCCUAAGCAAUGAGAUGAGGAACUAAGGCAAGCAGGGUUAAAUGACUUGCCCAGAGUCACACAUCUAUACCUCACCUUUCCAGCAAGAUGGGCAGCACAGAUCAUCAUCAUUUGAGGAAAUAACCUAAGCCAGGUACCUUGCAGACCCCAAAAUCAAAGCAGGGAAUAUUGAUGAGAAAAAUCACACAGAGGGUGCUGAGUAGAUGAUUCCAACCUGCCAAGCAGCCACCCUGUGACCUCCUGGCACCAACAAGUGACCUCAUCAAGACAUUGUGGCCUGAUGGCUCCCAGCAAAAGACAUCUUGCAGGAGAUGGAAACUCAACUGAAUCUUGAAAGAAAUUCAAGGAUUGCUGCGAGGCCUUGGUAGAACUAAGCCCCCUUCUCUUCCCUUCCCCUAUCAGCACCCCCCUUCCCCGUACCUGCUGAAACUGCAGAAUAAAAACAGCUGUUCCACUUGAUAGGACA